rfam:Pristionchus pacificus strain PS312 contig933, whole genome shotgun sequence.
UCUUCAUUUCCCGUGCUCUCUCACCGGUCAGAGCUGUGAGAUAGUGUAGGAAAUGAAGAGA